rnacentral:rRNA from 1 species
AGUGAACGCUGGCGGUAGGCCUAACACAUGCAAGUCGAACGGCAGCACAGUAAUAGCUUGCUCUUACGGGUGGCGAGUGGCGGACGGGUGAGGAAUACAUCGGAAUCUACUUUUUCGUGGGGGUUAACGUAGGGAAACUUACGCUAAUACCGCAUCCGACCUACGGUUGAAAGCAGGGGAUCUUCGGACCUUGCGCGAUUGAAUGAGCCGAUGUCGGAUUAGCUAGUUGGCGGGGUAAAGGCCCACCAAGUCGACGAUCCGUAGCUGGUCUGAGAGGAUGAUAAGCCACACUGGAACUGAGACACGGUCCAGAGUCCUACGGGAGGCAGCAGUGGGGAAUAUUGGACAAUGGGCGGAAGCCUGAUCCAGCCAUACCGCGUGGGUGAAGAAGGCCUUCGGGUUGUAAAGCCCUUUUGUUGGGAAAGAAACGCAGCAGGUUAAUACCCCGCUGUUCUGACGGUACCCAAAGAAUAAGCACCGGCUAACUUCGUG